CCUACGGGUGGCAGCAGUGAGGAAUAUUGGUCAAUGGCCGAGAGGCUGAACCAGCCAAGUCGCGUGAGGGAAGAAGGUACUGCGGGUUGUAAACCUCUUUUGUCAGGGAACAAAGACUGGCACGCGUCACCGAUUGAGAGUACCUGAAGAAAAAGCAUCGGCUAACUCCGUGCCAGCAGCCGCGGUAAUACGGAGGAUGCGAGCGUUAUCCGGAUUUAUUGGGUUUAAAGGGUGCGCAGGCGGAGGAUCAAGUCAGCGGUCAAAUUGCGGGGCUCAACCCCGUCCUGCCGUUGAAACUGAAUCUCUUGAGUGGGCGAGAAGUAUGCGGAAUGCGUGGUGUAGCGGUGAAAUGCAUAGAUAUCACGCAGAACUCCGAUUGCGAAGGCAGCAUACCGGCGCGCAACUGACGCUCAUGCACGAAAGCGUGGGUAUCGAACAGGAUUAGAUACCCCUGUAGUC
rnacentral:rRNA from 1 species